UACGUAGGGGGCGAGCGUUGUCCGGAGUUACUGGGCGUAAAAGCGCUUGUAGGCGGUCCACCAAGUUUGGGGUGACAGUUGCCGACUUAAUCGGCAAAGUGCCUCAAAGACUGGCGGACUUGAGGGCCACAGAGGGACAUGGAACUCCAGGUGUAGUGGUGAAAUGCGUAGAUAUCUGGAAGAACACCAAAGGCGAAGGCAGUGUCCUGGGUGGUCGCUGACGCUGAGAGGCGAAAGCCAGGGGAGCGAACGGG
rnacentral:rRNA from 1 species